rnacentral:rRNA from 1 species
ACUCAAAGGAAUUGACGGGGGCCCGCACAAGCGGUGGAUCAUGUGGUUUAAUUCGAAGCAACGCGAAGAACCUUACCUGGGUUUGACAUCUCCUGACAUCCGUAGAGAUACGGCUUCUGUAGCAAUACAGCAGGAAGACAGGUGCUGCAUGGCUGUCGUCAGCUCGUGUGGUGACAUGUUGGGUUAAGUCCCGCAACGAGCGCAACCCUUGUCUCUAGUUGCCAGCAUUCAGUUGGGCUCUCUAGAGAGACUGCCGUGGUUAACACGGAGGAAGGUGGGGAUGACGUCAAGUCCUCAUGGCCUUUAUAUCCAGGGCGACACACGUGAUACAAUGGUUGGUACAAAGGGUUGCGAAGCGGCGACGUGGAGCUAAUCCCAAAAAGCCAAUCUCAGUUCGGAUUGAAGUCUGCAAUUCGACUUCAUGAAGUUGGAAUCGCUAGUAAUCGCGGAUCAGAACGCCGCGGUGAAUACGUUCCCGGGCCUUGUACACACCGCCCGU